GAUGAAGAACGUAGUGAAAUGCGAUACGUAAUGUGAAUUGCAGAAUUCAGUGAAUCAUCGAAUCUUUGAACGCAUAUUGCGCUCUCUGGUAUUCCGGAGAGCAUGCUUGUUUGAGUAUCAGUAAACACCUCAACUUCCAUAUCUUUUUUGAAAUGGGAGUUGGACUUGAGUGAUCCCAACGCUUUUCCUCACCGAAAAGUGGCGGGUUACUUGAAAUGCAGGUGCAGCUGGCCUUUUCUCUGAGCUAUAAGCAUAUCUAUUUAGUCUGCCUAAAAAACAGAUUAUUACCUUUGCUGCAGCUAACAUAAAGGAGAUUAGUUCUUGUGCUGACUGAUGCAGGAUUCACAAAGACGGCUUCGGCCGACUUUGUAAACUCGAUCUCAAAUCAAGUAAGACUACCCGCUGAACUUAAGCAUAUCAAUAAGCGGAGGA
rnacentral:misc_RNA from 1 species